ensembl:lncRNA
CAGGGGUUUGCAUGACUGUGUUUCAGACCUUCCACAGGAGCUGGAGCUUAAUGUGAAGUCGAGAGCCCGACCCAGGUCUUAUUCCAGCACCUCCAUAGAUGAUGCUAUGAAGAAGGUGGAGGACCCCCCCCACUCCUCCACCGCGCCCUCACAAGACUCACUCCCGCGCCUCCUCCCUCGACCUCAACAAACUCCUCCAGCAGAGUAGCCAGGGUGUGAAGAGCCUGACCCAUCCACCUGCCCUUCCACCGCGGCCACCAGUAUCCCAGAUGACCCACUUCCUCCCUGACAAGAACUCCCAGCAGACCUUGCAGCAGCACUGCUUUGCAGACUUUAGCAAACUCAGAGAAGAGGUGAGAAAAAUACAUACACACACACACACACACCCUCAGACACUCCUUCCUUGUG